CUAAAUAAUCACACCUUGCUGCCCUGAACAAGCCCAAUCCUGUCUGAUCUCGGAAGCUAAGCAAUGUUGGGCCUGGUUAGUACUUGGAUGGGAGACUAUCUAGGAAGACCAGGUGCUGUAGGAG
rnacentral:rRNA from 1 species